rnacentral:rRNA from 1 species
GACGAACGCUGGCGGCGUGCUUAACACAUGCAAGUCGAACGGUAAGGCCUUUCUGGGUACACGAGUGGCGAACGGGUGAGUAACACGUGGGUGAUCUGCCCUGCACUUCUUUAUAAUCCCUGGAAACUGGUUCUAAUACCGGAUAGUACUACGCGGUGCAUCCCGUUUGGGGGAAAGAUUUUUCGGUGCUGGAUGGGCCCGCGGCUUAUCAGCUUGUUGGUGGGGUAAUGGCGUACCAAGGCGACGACGGGUAGCCGGCCUGAGAGGGCGACCGGCCACACUGGGACUGAGACACGGCCCAGACUCCUACGGGAGGCAGCAGUGGGGAAUAUUGCACAAUGGGCGGAAGCCUGAUGCAGCGACGCCGCGUGAGGGAUGACGGCCUUCGGGUUGUAAACCUCUUUCGGCAGGGACGAAGCGUGAGUGACGGUAACUGCAGAAGAAGCACCGGCCAACUACGUG